CCGUGGGGCUCCGGCUCCAUUGAGAUAGAACCCUUGUCCUUUAUCGAGUACCGUACGUUUUCCCUGGCGGGUCCGCCCGCCAUCGGGGACAAACCAAACUCUUGCAGUAUAGCAGUUUCUGUCUGAAAAACAAAGCAAUCAAUUA
rnacentral:misc_RNA from 1 species